rnacentral:rRNA from 1 species
UACGAGAGGCCCAAACGUUAUUCGGAAUUACUGGGCUUAAAGAGUUCGUAGGCGGCGCAGAAAGUAGGGUGUGAAAGCCCUCGUCUCAACCGAGGAAUUGCGCUCUAAACUACUGUGCUUGAGGGACCUAGAGGUGAGCGGAACUGAUGGUGGAGCGGUGAAAUGCGUUGAUAUCAUCAGGAACACCGGAGGCGAAGGCGGCUCACUGGGGGUCUUCUGACGCUGAGGAACGAAAGCCAGGGGAGCGAACGGG